CAGUAAAGGCAACAUUACUUUUAGGAAGUUGCAAAACUUGUAAUGAUUCCAAAUUUCUCCAAGAAAUAAAGGUCCAUCUGUUUCAUCUUUGUAUUCUACCAGUAUGGUUUUGUGACUGUAACACACAGAUUACAACAAUCUCUGAAACUCUGAAAAAUCACUGAAGGGCAAUGGAGAAAUGUUUGAUGAUCAAGAGAGCCUGCCAAAGAGAACAAAAGAGGAACUUGGAAGAGUUGAACUCAAUCUACGACAGGAUCAGCUUUAGUCAACCUAGAGGACAGCAGACUUUGUAGAGUCAAGAGUUAGCAUCUGAUUUGUGCUUCACCAAUCUGAAGAAUCAGAAAGCAGCAGCUUUUGAUACCACAUCAGAGGCCAUGUCUAUUAACAGUACAGCUGAGAUGAGACAAGAAUGACUGACCUGAACUUUACAGGCCGGGAUUUCAGACACAGAAAUAAAAGGAUGAAAUAAAUUCAGAAGGAAAAUAUUUGGUUGGAUUUUAACUAAAAAUAGAGGUAGAAGUCCCUUAGGAAAUGCAGAGACUAAGAAGAAAGGCAGACUGAGACUUUCCUUUGGUGGUUUUUUAGAGGUCUCCAAAGAAAUUCAAGUACUAUAGUGGAGCCCAUUACAAAGAAUUUUAGUUAAUGGUGAGUAGGAAUGAAUGUUUCUUUAAAUUGUGCUCUAUGUGUAUAUCUUUUUUAUU